rnacentral:rRNA from 1 species
AGCGAACGCUGUCGGCAGGCUUAACACAUGCAAGUCGAACGGGCACUUCGGUGUCAGUGGCAGACGGGUGAGUAACACGUGGGAACGUACCUUUUGGUUCGGAACAACUGAGGGAAACUUCAGCUAAUACCGGAUAAGCCCUUACGGGGAAAGAUUUAUCGCCGAAAGAUCGGCCCGCGUCUGAUUAGCUAGUUGGUAGGUUAAUGGCCCCCCAAGGCGACGAUAAGUAGCUGGUCUGAGAGGAUGAUCAGCCACAUUGGGACUGAGACACGGCCCACACUCCUACGGGAGGCAGCAGUGGGGAAUAUUGGACAAUGGGGGCAACCCUGAUCCAGCCAUGCCGCGUGAUUGAUGAAGGCCCUAGGGUUGUAAAGCUCUUUUGUGCGGGAAGAUAAUGACGGUACCGCAAGAAUAAGCCCCGGCUAACUUCGUGCCAGCCGCCGCCGUAA